rnacentral:sRNA from 1 species
UUUAUGAUCCAUUUGCCGUGGGUCCCACCAGCUAUGUAGGAAUACCCUAUCUUCUUAAUAAGAGCCUUGAUAAAUGCAAAAUAUUGGAAAACAAUGUCCGAACAUAUAAUGCCCCCCCCCCCGUAAUAUAGCAAAGAUCACGAAAAUGCCCAAAAAAGUACAUUUAGGUCAAAAUUUGAGUAGAAAAAAAAACAAUAGAAGAAUUCCAUUUUCCUUCCUCAUUUAUCGGAGAGCUCUCUUUGGGCUUUCCGAAAAGGUAUCACAUGACAAGUUUGGCCUCACGGUCUAAAAGAUAUAGAGUCAUACAUUAUUAACAAAACAAAAUAGAGAAAAACCGAAAAAAAAGAGGGAUGCAACGCGAGGACUUUCCGGGAGGUAAUCUAUCCUAGUACUACUCUCGCCCAAGCACCCUUACCUGCGGAGUUCUGAUGGGAUCCGGUGCAGUAGUGCUGGUAUGAUCGCAUGUGUUACUACAUGCAAUGCAAUCAUAUAUAUUCUUUUUUGAAGACUUUAUGAUCCAUUUGCCGUAGGUCCCACCAGCUAUGUAGGAAUACCCUAUCUUGUUUAUAAGAGCUUUGAUACAUGCAAAAUAUUCGAAAACAAUGUCCGAACAUAUAAUUUUUGUCCCGUAAUAUAGCAAAGAUCACGAAAAGGCCAGAAAAAAUACAUUUCGGUCAAAAUUUGGAGUAGAAAAAAACCCCUUCCUCAUUCAUUGGACAGCUCUCUUUGGGCUUUCCGAAAAGGUAUCACAUGCCAAGUUUGGUCUCACGGUUUAAAAGUUAUAGAGUCAUACAUUUUUCACAAAAAAAAGAAGAGAAAAAAC